rnacentral:rRNA from 1 species
CUACGGGAUGCUGCAGUAAGGAAUAUUGCGCAAUGGAGGCAACUCUGACGCAGCCAUGCCGCGUGCAGGAAGAAGGCCUUAUGGGUCGUAAACUGCUUUUAUUUAGGAAUAAACCCCCGAACGUGUUCGGGGCUGAAGGUACUAAACGAAUAAGCACCGGCUAACUCCGUGCCAGCAGCCGCGGUAAUACGGAGGGUGCAAGCGUUAUCCGGAUUUAUUGGGUUUAAAGGGUGCGCAGGCGGGGUAUUAAGUCAGUGGUGAAAUCCCGGGGCUCAACUCCGGAACUGCCAUUGAUACUGAUAGUCUUGAGUUUGGUUGAAGUGGGCGGAAUGUAGCAUGUAGCGGUGAAAUGCAUAGAUAUGCUACAGAACACCAAUCGCGAAGGCAGCUCACUAAGCCAAAACCGACGCUCAUGCACGAAAGCGUGGGGAUCAAACAGGAUUAGAUACCCCCGUAGUC